rnacentral:rRNA from 1 species
ACGAGGGGUGCAAGCGUUAAUCGGAAUUACUGGGCGUAAAGCGCGCGUAGGUGGUGAAGUCAGUCAGAUGUGAAAGCCCAGGGCUCAACCUUGGAAUUGCAUCUGAUACUGCUUCGCUAGAGUACAGUAGAGGGGUGUGGAAUUUCCUGUGUAGCGGUGAAAUGCGUAGAUAUAGGAAGGAACACCAGUGGCGAAGGCGACACCCUGGACUGAUACUGACACUGAGGUGCGAAAGCGUGGGGAGCAAACAGG